AUCCCACAUUAAAGACAGUUCCUUAACAAUUUCUUUUACCAUUCACAUGCUUCGUACAAGGUUUCGAACUCCAUCUAUCUGAAAGAAGAUAUAUCAUUUCUGAGCUU